UACGGAGGGUGCAAGCGUUAUCCGGAAUCACUGGGUUUAAAGGGUGCGUAGGCGGUACCAUAAGUCAGUCGUGAAAUCUCUUGGCUCAACCAAUGAAAUUGCGAUUGAUACUGUGGUACUUGAAUCAGGUUGAGGUAGGCGGAAUGUGACAUGUAGCGGUGAAAUGCUUAGAUAUGUCAUAGAACACCGAUUGCGAAGGCAGCUUGCUGGACCUGUAUUGACGCUGAGGCACGAAAGCGUGGGGAGCAAACAGG
rnacentral:rRNA from 1 species